rnacentral:rRNA from 1 species
AGACCCGAAACCCGGUGAUCUAGCCAUGGGCAGGUUGAAGGUUGGGUAACACUAACUGGAGGACCGAACCGACUAAUGUUGAAAAAUUAGCGGAUGACCUGUGGCUGGGGGUGAAAGGCCAAUCAAACCGGGAGAUAGCUGGUUCUCCCCGAAAGCUAUUUAGGUAGCGCCUCGUGAAUUCAUCUCCGGGGGUAGAGCACUGUUUCGGCUAGGGGGCCAUCCCGGCUUACCAACCCGAUGCAAACUGCGAAUACCGGAGAAUGUUAUCACGGGAGACACACGGCGGGUGCUAACGUCCGUCGUGAAGAGGGAAACAACCCAGACCGCCAGCUAAGGUCCCAAAGUCAUGGUUAAGUGGGAAACGAUGUGGGAAGGCCCAGACAGCCAGGAUGUUGGCUUAGAAGCAGCCAUCAUUUAAAGAAAGCGUAAUAGCUCACUGGUCGAGUCGGCCUGCGCGGAAGAUGUAACGGGGCUAAACCAUGCACCGAAGCUGCGGCAGCGACACUCAGGUGUUGUUGGGUAGGGGAGCGUUCUGUAAGCCUGUGAAGGUGUGUCGUGAGGCAUGCUGGAGGUAUCAGAAGUGCGAAUGCUGACAUAAGUAACGAUAAAGCGGGUGAAAAGCCCGCUCGCCGGAAGACCAAGGGUUCCUGUCCAACGUUAAUCGGGGCAGGGUGAGUCGACCCCUAAGGCGAGGCCGAAAGGCGUAGUCGAUGGGAAACGGGUUA